UACAGAGGUGGCAAGCGUUGUUCGGAAUUACUGGGCGUAAAGGGCGCGCAGGCGGCUGCUCAAGUCAGGCGUGAAAGGCCUGGGCUCAACCCGGGAAUUGCGCUUGAGACUGGGCUGGCUUGAGUGCGGGAGAGGAUGGUGGAAUUCCCAGUGUAGAGGUGAAAUUCGUAGAUAUUGGGAAGAACACCGGUGGCGAAGGCGGCCAUCUGGACCGCAACUGACGCUGAGGCGCGAAAGCGUGGGGAGCAAACAGG
rnacentral:rRNA from 1 species